AUUGCUUCUCGGCCUUUUGGCUAAGAUCAAGUGUAGUAUCAGUUCUUAUCAGUUUAAUAUCUGAUACGUCCCCCAGCGGGGGACUACAUGUUAGAUUUUUAGAACAGGGAGUUUGG
ensembl:snRNA U2 U2 spliceosomal RNA